rnacentral:sRNA from 1 species
GGCAGAGAUUGAACCAGAAGGACAGUCCGUCACACUAAAGGAGCAGGCUAAAACCCAUGAUGGCGACAGCUCGCUCGCCGUGGGCAAUGCCGUGCCACCGCCCCUGGCCAAAGCCAUUGGCUUGGAGAUCAAGCUCUGUAUGUUGGCCAAAGCCCGAGAGAGUGCCUCAGCUAAAAUAAAGGAGGAGGAAGCUGCUAAGGACUAGUUCUGCCCUCCCGUCACCCCUGUUUCUGGCACCAGGAAUCCCCAACAUGCACUGAUGUUGUGUUUUUAACAUGUCAAUCUGUCCGUUCACAUGUGUGGUACAUGGUGUUUGUGGCCUUGGCUGACAUGAAGCUGUUGUGUGAGGUUCGCUUAUCAACUAAUGAUUUAGUGAUCAAAUUGUGCAGUACUUUGUGCAUUCUGGAUUUUAAAAGUUUUUUAUUAUGCAUUAUAUCAAAUCUACCACUGUAUGAGUGGAAAUUAAGACUUUAUGUAGUUUUUAUAUGUUGUAAUAUUUCUUCAAAUAAAUCUCUCCUAUA